AGUUAAUUAGCUUAAAUAAAGCCUAUAUUUUGAAAAUAUAAGAAAAAGGUUAAUCCCUUUAUUAACUU
rnacentral:tRNA from 1 species